rnacentral:lncRNA from 1 species
CCAACCCCUGAUUUAGGUCAUAGAAUUUUAGGUCUGGGAUGAACUAUAGUGAUCACUUAGUUUGACACUCUCAUUUUAUGCAAGAGACAAGUAAGAGGAAGAAGCUGUAACUUGCUCACUUUCUUUUCCCCUCCCUUCAUUACACAGCUAGUUUUUUUUAAUAAAACUAGUUAAUGUUCUUCCAUAACUCAUGAUAUUCUCACCUUUAGAGUUCCAAUAAGGAUGUCUUAUUUUCUAGAAGCAAAGAUUUCCCCUAUUAUGCAUCUCAAAUGUUCCACUCAUCCAGAAGGAGACCAAAACAGGAUUCAAGGGUAAAUGAUAGGCAGGUAGGGGAAAUAAGAGAGGGGAAGGAAGGUAAAACAAACAAAGGUAAGAUUUCAAGCAAAAGCCAUUUGUAGGAUAAGUCUGAGUCUGAUUCCACAUGGGAACACUGGAGGGCAAGUUGCUUAAAACCUGUCUUAUUUUCCAACAGAUAAUCCUUGGUUAACGGACAACCUGGGAGGCUGUAAACUUUACAGGAAUUUCCCAGUUGCCCAAAGCUGCCUCAGUAGCCUCAGGGUAGUAUACUGAAGAGGUUUCAUGCAGGCACUGACCAAAAAAUCACUCCCCAAAAUGUGUUACUUGUGUGUGUGUCAGGGGUGGAAUACAAAAUGAUCUGAGGGAAUUUAGUCAGAACCCUUGCAUUGUCUUUUGCAUGACCUUAAUAACAGAGAAGAAUAAAUAUAUUUACUUAUUUGAAGUUACAGAUCAGACAUUUCUGCUGAAAACUAGAUAUUUCAUGUUGUUUUAUCUAUAAAAAUUUCUUUUUUUGUGUGUGUCUUUUUGCCAUUUUGGGGGCUGCUCUCGUGGCACAUGGAGGUUCCCAGGCUAGGGGUUGAAUCGGAGCUGUAGCCACUGGCCUACACCAGAGCCACCGCAACACGGGAUCCGAGCUGCAUCUGCAACCUACACCACAGCUCAUGGCAACGCCGGAUCCUUAACCCACUGAGCAAGGCCAGGGAUCGAACAUGCAACCUCAUGGUUCCUAGUCGGAUUCACUAACCACUGAGCCAUGAGGGGAACUCCAAACUUUAGCUUUUAAAAAUCACUCUCUCACUUUACUUUCUCUCUCUGUAGAAGGACAGAUUUAGUCGGCUGGUCCGAAGGUAGUGAGUUAUCUCAAUUGAUUGUUCACAGUCAAAAUAACAUCUUAAUGGUUUUCUAGUGUCACAUUUAUAUGUCCUCCAUAUAGAAGGAUGGAAGGGGCUAACUAGCUCUGUAUAUCCCCAACUACUCCUAGCUCCCAAGAAGGGGUAAACAAUAGAUAAUCAUUUAUUUUCGCAUUCAGCUUUCUUACAGUAAAUUCUUAAGUGUUUUCCCAGUCUAAUUUUAAAACAUUAUGGGAUAUCCUGUUUCUUCUCCAAGUCAGUUCAACUUCUCACUCAGAUUAAAAUGAUCUAUUAAGCCAUACCAUUUUUUCCAAGUAUUCUUGUGCCCCUUUGAAUAUGGAUAUGACGUAAAAGAACUUCUCAAAUCACUAGUGCCAUUUAUAUGAUAUGUGAAGAGUUUUGUUUGCUUGCUUUUUUUUUUUCCUGGUAAAGAUGGUACUAUAUUUUGUCAGCAGUAGACUUUUUUUUUCUUGUUCUCUUGCUCCUUAAUUCAUGACUCAUCUUUAUUUUUCAGGUUUGUCGAUGGUUGCUUUCAUGCUACUGAUGCAGAGCUGAAUAGCCUGCAAAUCGUAAAAUUUACUAUAAGAGAAAAUCUGUAGAUCUUGAUCAAAGUAAUAUGGCAACUGUAACAUCAAUGAUACAAGAUAAAAGGCUGACUGAAUUCCAGAGUACCAUUCCUCUAUCUACAUAAUGUUAAAUCCUCAUCCUGAUAGUAAGAUUCUCCUCAACUUGGCUGACUUUGCCAGCCAUUUAUUUUUCUAGAUUAGCCAGACAACUGAUAUGUUGAGGAAGAAACUUACUUCAAACUUCCCCACUGCCUAUUAAUAAUUGCAGUAAUGCCUUGACCAUCCUGCAAGGUUCAUUUCAAAUAGCAUCUUUUCAAUAAGGGCUUUCCCUUUAAUUUCAACCAAUUGUGAACUCUUUUUCCUGAAAUCUCCUUGGAUUACAGUCUCCUAAAUUGGUACCUUUCUUGGGACAUUAUAUUCUACUUAAUCAUUUUUGCUAGCUUCCUCACCCUUACCUGCUGUGAUUUAGCUCCUUGAGGGAAGGAAUGUUAUCUAAUUCACCUUUUGGUUUCCUGCAAAUCCAAGCACAUAUCCAUAUGAAUAGAUGCUCAGUAUAUUCAUUGAAUUGAUGGAUUAGAUUCUGAUAUCCUGUGUCAUAGAGAUGAUCCUGUUGUCUGAAGAUGUUCCAGGUUUACUUCACAUCUCUUGCUGCUGAUCCCUCACAUUAGUGAUUUCUGAUGAGUACAGAUUUCAGAGGGUUUAAUGUAUGACAGUUUCUUCUACAGAACUUUGGCAGAUUGUUCCUGCCCAAAGUGUUUAGUCAAAGAUUGCCAAAUGUUUGCAUACCGCCUACGUUAUUUUUGUCAAAUCCACAUACCACCUGCUCUGCUAUUUUAUCAAUAUUUCCUUUUAUUUACUCACCUUUAACUUAAAUAAAUGUAUUUAAGAGAAAAGUGGCAUCACUACCUUUUGUGGAAUUCUAGCACUGUUGACAUAAAUGACAUACAGUCAUAAAGAUCUGUAUCUAAAACCUUACCUCUCUCAGUUAAUGGACAAGGAACAAGUCGUAGAGGAAUGUUGAUGGCAUCUUGGCAUCAAACUGAGGCUUUCUUAUCUAUGUCAUAACAAAAAUCAUCUCUUGAACCAUCAAGGGUCUACAUGACAGCUUCUAGAUAAAGUGCAUGGGUUGGAGCACACCAAAUUCCCAAAAUACUUGUGGCUUCUUCUUGAUACGUUAUUGGCUCCAACAGCUACAUCAUUUAAUUCUAAACUGCUGUUAAGGUAAAUUAUAUUUAAAAAAAAAAUAAACAUUGGUAGCUAUUGGUAGGUGGGCUUUUUGGCCUAAAAAGGACUUUAUUUUAUAGAGCAGUAGCUAUGCUCUCGGCCACCAAAUGCCACCGUCCUCAGUAGGAACACUUCCAUUCACAGCUCCUAAUCACUUAUUUAAACCUAAAACCAAAUUCAUCUUCUCAGGAACUGGGAACAAAACAUGUCUUCACGUAGCUUCUAUUAUGGGAGAAUUUGCUGAAACAACUAGAAGGAAACAGUGGUUAUUAUCACCUACUCUUUAGGUUUCCAAUUAAAGAAAAUCUUCACUCUGACAGACUUUGACUAGUUUUUCUCCAUUCCUCAUUUUCUGAAGAGAAGCUUUUCUUAAUCACAAUGUGACACUUUUGGAAUAUUGUGAAAUGAGGAUAAUAUUAGAACUUACCUCAUAGUUUGUGAAAAUUAAAUGAGGUGUAGAAAGGUUAGAAUCUAAGUAUCAGGGAAGAUCAUUUAGAAUCAGCAAUGACAUAUAUGUGUCAUAGUUAAAUAUUAAACAAAAGGAUAUUUUUAAUUAUUAAGGGAAAUUAUAUGAUAACACUAAUUAAGAAAAUAUCCUAUGAUUAUUAACAUGGAAAAUAUUUAAAUACUCAGAUGGCAAAGAAGUUUGUUAUGGAAUUCAUUUUUUCAAAAGUUAACUUAUUAAACAAAUACAGAGAGGUCUUAGUGUGUAUAAGUUGGUCUAAUGCAAUUAUUUGGCAUUAAGAGUAUAAUAUUUUUACUUAGGGGGUCUCAUUUACCCAGAUAUUAAGCUAUGAAGGAUCUUCUAUCCCUAGUCAUUCUUGUUCAUAAUUACGUUAAAAUUUUCCACUGAUGUAUUAAUGUUAUGACUAUUUUAAAGCAAUGUUCAGGCUGAUUGUUUCAUGCAUGACUCUGUGAGUUGCUGGAAUGUGAGUAGCAAUCAUCCACCCUUGACAUGAAUCUUUGAGAGCAGAUGUCCUAGACUGAUGUAUUCAUUCGUUCAUUCAUCCUUGUCGGCCAGUUGCAAGAAGAUUCAUAUAAGACAGAUAUGGUGAGUUUGGGUCCCCUUUCUAGUCAUAUACAAGUCCCUAUGAAAUAAUUUCUUUAUACAAAAGAUAGUUAGUAAUAACAUCUGUUCUAUAGUAGACAUCUGUAACUUUCAUCUGUUCAGCAUUUAUACCUCCUCUUCCUGGCAAGUGCACGUGAAUGAUCGAUCUUUCCUUGGGUAAUCCUUCCUCAAGCAUUCCCAGUCCACAAGGUUUAGGUAUGGUUUACCCUAGCUUCAGGACCAGGGGCAAACAGAAGCCCACCAAUCAGAGCAAGUGCUUGGUCAAAGACAGAAUUAUGAGGAAACCACCCACAGAGUGUAAUUUUAGUGGCGAGAGUAAAUUGUUAACCCUCUCAGGGUUAAAUCAAGGAAGCUGAUGGUCAUCCUUGGAAGAGAGCCUGUCUGAGAAUGAAGCCAAUUUUACUGAAUUAGGAGAUAAAACAGUUUAAGCCUCUGAAUCCACCUGGACCCAAAGCUGAACACCCUUAACUUUUGCAAUUACAUGAACUAAUAGUCACUUACUUUAGCUAGUUUAAAUUUGGUUCCAGUCACUUUCAGCCCCAAGGGCACUGAAUAAUAUACUUAAUACAAAUAAUACACUACUGACUAAUACACUUCAAAGAAUUAAUGAAUAAUCAUUGGUGUUUACCACAAUGAUUUACCACAGCUAGUAAGAAAUCAAUAAGUAUUAUUGAUACUGAUAUAAUUCAAUAAGUAUUAGCUAUCGACAAUAAUUACAGUUAUAACAUAUUAAUAACUGAGUGCCUCAUAACAGUUAGGGAAAUGCAGUGAGCUUGGGGAAUAAUAAAAACAAGGGUAAAAUUUCCUGGUAGAAUUACUAAGUGGAGAUGUUUCCAAAGGG